rnacentral:rRNA from 1 species
GACAGAGGGGGCAAGCGUUGUCCGGAGUUACUGGGCGUAAAGGGCGCGGAGGCGGUCUGCGGCGUCGGUGCUGAAAGCGCCCCGCUUAACGGGGCGGGGCGUGCCGAUACGCGCAGGCUCGAGGCGAGCAGAGGGUGGUGGAAUUCCGGGUGGAGCGGUGAAAUGCGUAGAGAUCCGGAGGAACGCCAGUGGGGAAGCCGGCCACCUGGGAUCGACAUGACGCUGCGGCGCGACAUCGUGGGUAGCAAACCGG